GAUGAACGCUGGCGGCGUGCCUAAUACAUGCAAGUCGAGCGAACAGACGAGGAGCUUGCUCCUCUGACGUUAGCGGCGGACGGGUGAGUAACACGUGGAUAACCUACCUAUAAGACUGGGAUAACUUCGGGAAACCGGAGCUAAUACCGGAUAAUAUAUUGAACCGCAUGGGUCAAUAGUGAAAGACGGUUUUGCUGUCACUUAUAGAUGGAUCCGCGCUGCAUUAGCUAGUUGGUAAGGUAACGGCUUACGAAGGCAACGAUGCGUAGCCGACCUGAGAGGGUGAUCGGCCACACUGGAGCGGAGCCACGGUCCAGACUCCUGCGGGAGGCAGCAGUAGGGAAUCUGCCGCAGUGGGCGAAAGCCUGACGGAGCAGCGCCGCGUGAGAGAUGAAGGUCUUCGGAUCGUAAAGCUCUGUUAUUGGGGAAGAACAAAUGUGUAAGUAACUAUGCACGUCUUGACGGUACCUAAUCAGAAAGCAACGGCUAACUACGUG
rnacentral:rRNA from 1 species